ACCGGGUGGAGAGCCAGGGAGGGCUUCGCCGCUGUAUCCCUCCCUCCUCAGCUUGACCCGGUAGUGAAGGCAGAGAGAGAGGCAGGCUGGGUCCGCCUGGCAGCCUACGGGAAGAGGCGGGAGUGGGGAAGGAGGGGAGACGAGGCCCGGCGUGGGGGAGGCCGGCAGCAAGGGCCGCUAGCCCAGUGCGGACCUUUCUUCAGCCCCUGUAGUGUCCCAGCGGUGCGCUAGGCUGCAGCGCGAAGAGGACGCCCAGACUUCCUCUGACCCGAGCUCGGAUCGAACAGAAAUAGAGGGACCUCAACAGCUGGCGAACCGAGUGUCUGAUGCCUCUUGGAGCCGGAUCCUACCGUGAGAAAACUGGGGUGCAGAGACCUGGCGAGGAACUGCAGAAGGCCUGAGAGCCUGGAGGUCUGCGGUGGGGAGGAAGUCACUGUUGAGAGAGGCUGCAUCGCUUCACUUUUGCAGUUGCUUAACUCUUUGCAAAGUUCUCAGAAGUCCCCCUCUGAGAAAGGAAAGUUAGAGAACUGAAGUCUGGUUGCUGUGAUUGCGGGGAGAAGGUGAAGCAGAAUCUUGGACUCGGAGCCCGGACUGAAACUUAGCAGAGGGCGGGGGUUGUCUCGUGACAGGCGAUUGUAGGGAUCUGAGUAAGGGGUUUCACUUUUUUCAGUAGGAGGAGCGGGAAGAAGAGGGCUACAGGGGUGAAGUUGGAGAGGAGACUGUUGCAGAGAGCAACCUCCUCAGAGAAAUGGACAGCUUAAUCCCAGACCAGAGGCCCAGGGAAGGCAGGGCACGCCCUGCCCAAAAGAGACACCAGUCAGACUUGUCCCUAAGGAAGAAACCUUAAGAUCAUCUAGACAACCUCCUGCUACAGUGAAAAGAAAGAAGGUUUUGAUCUGGACUGGAAUUUAACUCUCUAACCCCCAACUGUCUCAUUUCCUUUCACCAAGUUUUCAACCAGGAGGAAAGGUGAGGACAGGGCUCAAGAAAGCAGAAGGGCUGCUAAUUUUCACUCUUAAUGCCCUACAACGAGUGUUGUAGGACAUUAAGAGUGAUUUUUAAAAUUUUUCUGUAACUGAUAAACGAAUUUCAUUUGCUUAACUUUCAAAUGAUAUGUUUCAGACAAAAAAAAAAAAAAGUCUAACACCCACUCAUCUUUUUAAAUCAGUGAACAAAAAGCUUUGAGCAGUUAGGAUUCUUGAUGUCUGAGAUGAAGGGAAUGUGGGAGGCAAGCAGUACAGUUAAAAAUGCUUUGAGGACCCAAACAGAGGGGGAUUGAAGCCAGCCUCUGCUACUUAGGAGGAGCCAGGAGCAUAGUAUCAAGAAAACUCAUCUGAGACUCAGUUUCCUUCUUUGUUAAAUGGGAUUAAUACUACUAAUCUGAGAGGGCUGUGGUGAAGACUAAGUUAGGAAAAGCAGGCAGAACUCUUGCCUGGCACAGGUGGGUAGGCGUUCAAAAUGGUAAUUUCCUUCCUCUUUCCCUCCCUCACUGUUUGGGGGGAGAAAAAGAUCAAACUAGGUCAGAACUGAAGAAGAACUUAAAGAAGGUUUGUUUAGCUUUGUGUCUUUUUUUCAUGUAAGAAACCAGAUCUCCAAAGAGUCAGCUGUGGCUGGUGAGGAUUACUCCGUGAUCCAGGGCCAGUGCCUGGGUGUGAAACCAGAGCUGCAGGCAGUGCUCAGAAACAGGCAAGAUUUUGUAGCAAAGCCCAGUCUCACCAAAGGAAGUUAGGUUUUAGCAGGAUGAGGCACUAUCCUAAGUGGAAACUGAAAGUGAGAACAAAAUAUGUAUUGGUUUAACACCAAUUACGGGUUACCAUGUAUGGGUAGACAAAUACUUAUUAAGUUCUAAAAAUAUAUCAGAUAUUCUUCUGUAGGCUUUAUACUAUGUAUUUCUCCUAAUACCUUAAUAACAUAGACAUUGUUUUCAUCCCUUUUUACAUGUAAGGAAACUGAGGUACACAGGGAUGUACUUUUGCAAGGCUACAGAUCUAGUCAGUGUUGAAGCAAGCAUCCAUUCAGAGUCGAGUGUUUGUUUGCUGCAGACUUUGUCUCAGUCACUGUGUUGAACUCUCUCCCAUGAACUUACCAUGCAUCAUACCAGCUAUGAGUACAUAGUGCCUCCAAAGCUUGGUUCUAUUCCAUCUUUUAGGGACAGUUAGGAAAAAUAUAAAACUAAUGGCGCAGGAAUUUGAUGCAAGAACAUGCUCAUCCUUCAGAACUCAGUGGAGUCAUGGAAGUGCAUGCCAGUUAAUUUAGUGUUCCUCCGCUCCAAGUCUAUUCUUGUUUGUCCUGAAUUGUUAUAUUGGAGCUAAAAUCUGUAAUAUUUGCUGUCAUAUUGCACAAUAUUAGGCUUUGUCAGCAGAAGGCGCUAGAUUGGCACAGACAAAAAGGAGGGGCUCUUGGUCACUCAGUGGCUUUUAGGCCAGUGUGUCCAAGAGAUCGUUGUUACUCACUCUCCAGUAAAUUUGGGUAAUUCUCCAGUCUGUGGCUGCCCUGUCAGUCUCACUGACAUGCCAGUAGGUGGCCUCCUAGCAAGUUUUACCAGCAAUGAAGCUGGUGAUUACUGCCAGCCCAGUGAGCAACACCUGAACAAAUUUCACGGCCAUCCCAUGAGCCAUGGCAUAUGUUUUUUCCAAUAAGGUCUGACUCUCAGCCUUGUAGAAUGGUGGGUGAAGACUGGGGGAGUUCUUCCAUGAUAUUAGCCUCCUGAUUACUCCCCUGCAGUUCUAGAGGCAGUGACUGCUCCCUGUAUCUGCUAUCGCUGCAUUCUUUAGUGGUCUCUAUUUUUUUAGUAGUCCAUCCCUUUUGUUACUUAAUAACUCUUCAUAUUAAUUUUGUUCUCUUUCAGUUAUGAUACAUGGUGUAAGAGGAACCCUGAACAGAGUUUAAUCUUGGGAGUCAUAAAUUGAUACUGUCUUUAUUUAGAGAAACUUAUGUGACAUCUCAUAGAUUAUUCCUUAAUCUGAAAAAAAAAUGAGGUGGUAAUAUAUAUAUGACAGGGUUAAGUAUCAUGUAAAAUGUGAACUUGAAAGCUAUCAGAAUUGAAGGUAUUAAUUAUCAGUAUAGGAAAUAGGGUAGCCAGAAAAUGAGGAUAUUUUCUAUAAAAAUUGGGAAUUUACUGGGGAAGGGGUUGAUAGAAUUUCUUGUCAAAUUUAUUGCCAUCAGAUGAAUAUUUUUGUUUGUAUUGACUACCUUUUCAAAGAUGAAAACAAGCUGUGAGUCUCAAAUAAUUUCAAAUUUCCAGCUGUAAAAAAAAUAUGGCUGAAAUCACAGCAAUUUUGAAAUGCUAGGUUCAGAAUAAUGUAGUUCAUUUAUAUUCUGGCAUCCUUCAGGUUUGCUUUAUUUCUCCUUUGUCUUCUUUGACCUUUUUUGGAGAUAUAUAUAUGAAUUAUUUCAUCAUUUAGACUUGUAUAAGAAAAAAAUUAUGCUAGAUAUUCAUUCUAUCCCCCCCAAAAAAAUGAAAUUUUAAAAGAUAAAUGAAGAGAAGCCUGAGUGUGUUCCAUUCUUAGAAGAGUUCUAUGAUGUCGAUCCUUGUGACAGACACAGUCAGGCUCCACCCUGAUGUCCUAGGAUCCCUUUGAAUCUGAGUGUCCUUUCCCCUUACUUCUGUUUUUUUUUUUUUUUUUUUUUCCAACAGCUUGCCCUGACACUCUCUUUGGAAGACUUCCCAAAGUUUCUAGUCUCAGUUUGCCUAAGGUGCAGAGUUAGAAAGAACCAGUUGGAAGUUAACUUCUCCCCCAGAAUGGACCUCAUUAUGUAGCCUGGCCCUCUUCCUAUACUGGCAAGAAAAUCUGAGGUCCAUUUAUACCUUAAUUUCCCCCACAGAAUCAUGUUGGAGCUAGGAUUUUGCAUGAAAUCACCUCUUACCCUAGCUUGCCUACUCUGAUAUCUUAUGGGUUUUCAUGAAAGGACUUUCUAAAUAAAUCAUGUGUAUACAAUCCUCAUCUCAGGGCAUGAUUCUGGGGUCCCUAAUGUGAGCCAUUGCCUUUCGUUUUUACAGAUGAGGAAACUGAGGUUUGGUUAUUUUAAAUUGCCUGAAGUCACACUACCAAUAAAGGAUAGAGUUGUGAUUUGAAACCUAUGUGACUCGAAGUUUUUACUACUAAUGUUAUAUUACAUUUAAACUCCUUAAUACUAAGUGCAUUUAAAGUAACUGAACAGAUGUGGAAACAAAAUUCAGCAAUUGAUUGAUCAACAGAUGUAAAAAUGUUGUUCAUAUAUUAAGAAAUCUGUAAAUGUUUGAGGAGGAAAGACUGUGGACAGUAUGAUCAACAUGUGAUGCACCUCAUCCAAAAAUCCUUAUCAGAGAUGUACUGACAUGUCCCAAAUUUUUGCCCAGUGGUAAAUGUUCAGUGUGGUUCUCAAUCAAGGGCUCUCUUCAAGCCAAGGUUGAAUUGGAUAUUUCUAUCAGUUUGCUACUGCUUCUGUAACAGAUUAGUUGUUUAAAAUCCAAGAUGGGUCUCAACACGCCAUGUUAGACUUCUGACCUCACAAACUGUGGAUAAUAAAUUAAGGUGCUAAUUGAGGAUCUGCAUUCCUUCUGGUGGCUUCAGGGGAGACUUCCUGCUGAGAGCCAUUGCCAAGUAGGAAUGACGCAUCGCAAUUUCUUUGUCAGCCUACUCCAUGUUGCUUAGAGGAAGAACUCUCCAUGGUGGACCCAGGUCAUUUGCAGUGACUUUGCAUGAAAGGUGACCUUGCUCAAGGACCAGGGCGGAUCCGGGUUAGGGUGGAUCAGGGUUUAGGGCAGAUUGGGAUUUAGGGCGUUCUGGGUUUAGGGGGGUUCCAGGUUUAAGGUGAUUCCUGCUAGGAAUGGGGCGUAUCCUGCUGCCUCAAGCCCACCCGCUCCUUGAGUUCCCGUUGAGUUCUCGCGGUAUUCAGAGAGUAUUUUGGGAUGCAGAGCCCAGUGGAAGUGUGGAUUUUCCCCAGAAUGUGUUUGUAGAGUGCCGGUGUGAGUUCGGGAAUAAAGAAUUGCUGUUUGAAUCUACAAGGCUGUGAGUGGCUCGUGAUUUUGUGCCCAGCCAGGCUGCGGCAACUUCCUGUUCUUUGCAUUUCUUGCUCCUAGAGAUGGCCUAAAUUUAUUCAGUUGUGGUCCAGUUGCUCCAUCUUCAAAACCAGCAAUGGGGCCAGGUGUUGUGACACACGCCUGUAAUCUCAGUGGCUUGGGAGGCUGAGGCAGAAGGAUAGCGAAUUCAAAGCCAGCCUCAUCAAAAGCGAGGCUCUAAGCAACUCAUUGAGUCCCUGUUUCUAAAUAAGAUACAGAAUGGGGGUGGGGAUGUGGCUCAGUGGAUGAGUGCCCCUAAGUUAAAUCCCAAGUGCCAAAACAACAACAAAAAAC
rnacentral:lncRNA from 1 species